rnacentral:lncRNA from 1 species
AGACUACCCUAGCCACAAUAACAAAAGAUCAAAAAUCACAAUCCACAACCAAAAUAAAAAAAUAAAAAAAAUACAAUGAGUGAAAAGGGAGGGGGUUUGGUUGGAGGAUUGGUAGCUCAUUUUUAGAGAGAUUUGGAGGAGGUAUUGUGCCGCCGGUGGGGUGCUUAAGUUUGGGGUUUUCUGCUGUCGUCGGUUAGGAGGAAGUAAGCUCGGUUCGUCGUCACCUAGGAGAAAAGAGGUUUGGCCUUGCCGUCGGUGAAAGGAAAGAGGCGGAGAGAGGAGAUCUAAGUGGCACCAACAAAGGGAGCAAAGCUCGAUUCAGGCAACAAGAGAAAAAGAAGAGUGAGCGGCAGUGGGGAGAAGUUCGAUCGACGGUAAAAGAGAGUAAAAGGAACGCUUCCAUGCUGUCGGUGGGUCGGUUGAGAGGAAGGAAAGAGAGGAUGGGAGGUUAGAGAGAGGAUAGAGAACUGCCAUCGUAGAGAGAGAAAGUGAAAGAAGAAAAUGGGGAGAGAAGAGAAAAAAAUGGUUUAUAUAUUAAGGCUUGGAGGCAAAACGGUGUAGUUGUGGGAGAACUCAAAAGACUCUUCCUAAGUGCUUGAAACGGUGCCAUUUUGGACCUUAAGGGAGACUACUAAAGCGGGUCGAGCCAAACCCAAAGGGAGCUAUUGGGUUCCUUGGACGUUGGGCUUCAAUAGUCCAAGUUUGGUAUGGACUCCUUUGGACCUUAUUAUUUGGAUUACUAUUAGGCUAUUUGUUUAUGAUGCUUAUUGGGCCAUUUUAAUUUUUUUUUAGUUUAGUUUUGGGUUAUUUGUUUAUUAUUUUUAUUGGGCUAUUUAUUUUUUAUCUAGUUUUAAUUAGG